rnacentral:misc_RNA from 1 species
AGAAGAAGAAGAAGAAGAUGAUGACGACGACAUGAAGCAUGCGAGCAUUCCCAAACCUUAACGGCGCUAAGUUUCUUGAUAGCUCUCGAAGAGCGAAAGGAUAAUAAUAAUUUUUUAAUAAAAAUAAAAAGUUCCCAUGGCAGUCUCUAGAAGUCGUCACCAUCGUAGCCAAGGUCAUCCUCGACCUUUUCCGCUGCUUCAUCAGCAACAUGGUCCUCCAGCGCAUCAAAGCCCUCUGCCAAUGCCAGUCCACCUAAAGCCCCAGCUACCGCGCCCACAGCCAAUCCAGUCCCCAUCCCACCGAACUUGCUUUUCUUCUUUUCCUCCUGAACAUAAACGGGCUGCUGACCGUAAUCGUAACUUGACUGACCGUAGGGUGCUGGUGGAGGUGGCGCGUUGUAACCACCGUACGGAUAUCCAGUGGGCGGCGCCGCUGCAUAGUAUGGAUUUGUUGGUGGUGGUGGUGGUGCUGCAGAGUAGGGACUUCCAUAUGGGUAGUCUCUCGAAGCUGAUGGUGGUGGGACACCGUAAGGUGGCUGGUAGUACGCAUCAGGCGCACGAUACCGUGGUUCUCUGAUCGAAACUUUAACAUCGACUUUCCCCUGGGGUCUACCUGAAGGACGCUUGAGCUGGAGAGUGCGCUUAGCUCGUUCGCCAACUCCGACGUCAUCGAGAACGUCGACGAGUUUUAGCCGGGCGGAGCCGAUCAGCGGCUUGGUGUCUUCCUCAGCACCGGCGUUGACGAUGUCGAUGUAGAGAGUGUGAUCCUGAAUUGGGCCAGGCGGCAAGGAGAUAACAAGGGUCUGAUCCCAUAGAGGACAUGCAUCACCUUCCUCGUCGACUCUGGUGGAGCAUUUCUUGUUUGGAUCAACCCAAACGACUACGUACGGCCUCAGUGGGCCGUGGCGCCAGUUGACGUUCUUUAGGUCCUUGGCUGACGUGAUGGUUACUUCGACCUCAUAGCGAGAACCCAUUUUGGAGGAUAAAUGUGAAGAUGAAGUAAAUAAGAAGGGCGAAAUACUCAGACUCGGUGUUUUGCCGGCGAUUUUAAGCUCUAGUGUUACCUCUUUAAAUAGGUUGCAGUCUUGCAGAAUGGUCCUUACUGGGGUUGUUUUAUCUAAAAGAAGGAGAUGAAGCAGCGUGAUACGAUUUCUUUACCAUUUUAUCCCUAGUUCCGAGACUUUUGAAUUUUGAUUUGACGAUAAGUUAAGGGCCUUUUGGACAAGAUAUGAAAAUUGAAACAGACUUUACGUGGACGGACGUUAUCACGGCCAGAGAUUGCUUAGAGACAAA